CCAUGGGUGGUGAAGUCGAGUGGUAACACUCUGGUCUACCAUUUCAGAGGUCCCCGGUUCGAUUCCUGGCCGGUGCA
rnacentral:tRNA from 1 species